rnacentral:lncRNA from 10 species
UGUCCCCAAGGGAAAUGUUCCAGGGAAUGUCCUCAGCACCACAGAGAACUGAAAUCCUGGAGAAAACUGGCCUAAGGAGCUCAGAAAGGCCAAUAAAACUGGGGCAUUUGGGGAAGAAGAGGAAAUGGAAUGGCAUUAUUGGAUGAUUUAAAUGUGGUGUGUUGCUAUGGUUCCCAGCCUUCUUGAAAGUCACAGACAUGGUGUAUGGGCUGAAUUGUGUCUUCCCAAAACUCACAUGUUGAGUACAGUACUACAAAAUAUAUUUGAAGAGAUUUGAGUUACAGCACUACACAUUUGAGUUACAGUACUACAAAAUGUAUUUGAAGACGGAGCCUUUGAAGGGGUAAUUGAGUUAAAAUGAGGUCAUAAGGUGGUCCCUAAUCCAAGGCGAUUGGUGUCCUUAUAAAGAGAGAAGAUACCAUAGAAGGAAGACCCUGCGAAGAUAAAGGGAAGAGACAACCAUCUGCAAGCAGAGGAGAGAGGCUUCAAAAGAAACCAACUCUGCCAGCACCUUGAUCUUGGACUUCUAACAUCUAGAACCAUGAGAAAAUAAAUUUCUGCUGUUUAAGCCA